rnacentral:rRNA from 1 species
GACGUAGGAGACGAGCGUUGUCCGGAUUUACUGGGCGUAAAGCGCGCGCGGGCGGCCCCGCAGGUCGGUUGUGAAAGCCCCCGGCUCAACCGGGCGGAGGCGAGCGAAACCGCGGGGCUGGAGGCUGGCAGAGGGUGGUGGAAUUCCCGGUGUAGUGGUGAAAUGCGUAGAGAUCGGGAGGAACACCCGCGGCGAAGGCGGCCACCUGGACCAGGCCUGACGCUGAGGCGCGAAGGCCGGGGGAGCGAACGGG